CGAAGUGUAUCUGAUAUACGUUUACACACAACGACACAUUUCCAUUAUGUCCUUGUUUUGGGUUUUUAACCGGUUCUUGCUCCUUCGUUCUAUUUUCUCUCAAAUAAAUAUUUUCACGGCAUGUACAAUCGAUUAUUAAAUAUAAACAUAUAAAUAUGAAAAAAUAUAUUUACGUUACAAUGAAAUUAUUUAUAGAAAUUGCAAGUUUAUUUUACAUUAUAUUCCUGUAAGGAGUAAAAGACUAAGACUAACCUUCCUCAACGGCUAAGGUGACAGUGGCUGAUCGACCCUCCGUCGGCCUGCAUGAAUAGUUCCCAACGUCAUCUUGAGUCACUGCCGCCAAAGUCAACACGGAUACCGUACGUGCCGCACCCCUUUCGGUCUCUACAUUUAUCCCUCCACGCGCUGCCUGGAUAGAGAGUAAACAAGUGAACUCGACGAUGAAGAUGUAGUCGGAAGAACUUGACACGGAACACGUUGCCGAGACCCUUUACGUUUCGCCAAAUUGCAUAUAAAAACUACUACAUUAGUCCUGUUAUAAAGUUUUAUGUAUCUAUGAAUAAAUUUGAAGAAAUUAGA